rnacentral:rRNA from 1 species
GACGAACGCUGGCGGCGUGCUUAACACAUGCAAGUCGAGCGGAAAGGCCCUUCAGGGUACUCGAGCGGCGAACGGGUGAGUAAGACGGGAGUAACCUGCCCCAGACUUUGGGUUAAGCCUCGGAACCGGGGGCUAAGACCGGUAACGCCACAGAUUCGCAGGGGGUCAGUGUGGAAAGCUUUUGGGCUUUGGGUGGGCUCGCGGCCUAUCAGCUGGUUGGUGGGGUGGUGGGGUACCAAGGCGACGACGGGGAGCCGGCCUGGGAGGGCGACCGGCCACACUGGGCCUGCGACACGGCCCAGACUCCUACGGGAGGCAGCAGUGGGGAAUAUUGCACAAUGGGCCGAAGCCUGUUGCGGCGACGCCGCGUGCGGGAUGACGGCCUUCGGGUUGUAAACCGCUUUCAGCAGGGACGAAGCGUAAGUGACGGUACCUGCAGAAGAAGCGCCGGCUAACUACGUG